rnacentral:rRNA from 1 species
GCAACGAGCGCAACCCUUGUCCUAGUUGCCAGCAUUCAGUUGGGCACUCUAAGGAGACUGCCGGUGUUAAACCGGAGGAAGGUGGGGAUGACGUCAAGUCCUCAUGGCCCUUAUGUCCAGGGCUACACACGUGCUACAAUGGCCGGUACAAAGGGCUGCAAGACCGUGAGGUUGAGCGAAUCCCAGAAAGCCGGUCUCAGUUCGGAUUGGAGUCUGCAACUCGACUCCAUGAAGUUGGAAUCGCUAGUAAUCGCGGAUCAGCAUGCCGCGGUGAAUACGUUCCCGGGCCUU